AGCAGCCUUUGGAUUUCUAGUCAUCUGCCUUCUAUUUGCUAGAAAUCUCAUGAAGAAGAAAGAUGAUUAUUGAGUGUUGGUGGUUGGUGAUACUUUGAAUGAUUACAGAAGGUUGGAAAGUUUUGAAAUGAAUGGCUAUUCUUCUGUUUGAUUGGAUGCAUUACAGAGGGUUUUCUUUGAUUUUUCUUCAUCAGCUAUGUGAGUGUCAUCCAUCAAGAGAUUAUUUAAAGAGGAAAGGAGAGAAAAUAAUUGGUACUCCAUUAUGGCCUCACAGAAAGUACAGAGAGAUUCAAUGGAUUCUUUUCAUUAGGCUAAAUGCAUGGUUUAGGCUAACUAUGUGCUUUGAUUACUUGGUUAUUAAGGGUUUUUGAACAUUGUUAGCUUUUUUUUUCUUUUUUUACUGUACUA